GGAGUAGACCAGGCGGUCGCUGGCUCCUUUUCUGGAGCUGGAGGAAAGUCCGAACACCACAGGGCAGGGUGCUCCAUAACAUGGAGUCGCGGCGACGCGAAGGAAAGUGCAACAGAAAGCAGACCGCCCCGC
rnacentral:RNase_P_RNA from 1 species